GCGGCUCUAGUUGGGCUGGCUUGGACCUCCCUCUCUUUCACAUCGGGUGGUCCCGCUAACUCGCUCGUCGCUCUCUCAGCCCCUUCAAGUUGACUUGUACUAUUUAUAUCAUAGAUAGUCCUCCUUAGGUUCCUUCGAUCGCUUCGCUCAAGCGGUCUUCCCUUAUCUUCCCUAACGCUCAGAGUAGUUAUGGUUUGAGAUGAGAAAGGAGCACCGGCCGAACGCAAUGAAUGAAUAAGAAAUUGACAGCAGAGGGAAUCAAUGAUUCUUAUUCGACCGAGUUCUAGCUAGAAAGAUGUAGAUUACACACCGGAGGUUGGUAAGAACUGAGGUUUGGAACCCUAACCUAAGUAGGCCUACCAGCGAAGCAACAGGUACUUGAUCGGGCGGGGGGGCGGUUUGGUUUCAAGGCCCUCGCAGCAGGAAGAAGCAGUUGUCAUUUGAAAGUAAAGGCUCUUCUCCUGUUUUACGAAUCCUACAACUCUCUUUACUGAGCGAGACUCCAUCCAUAUCCCUACUAGUGGUUU
rnacentral:lncRNA from 1 species